ACGUACGCUGGCGGCGUGCUUAACCCAUGCAAGUCGCACGGAAAGGCCCUGCUUGCAGGGUACUCGAGUGGCGAACGGGUGAGUAACACGUGGGUGAUCUGCCCUGCACUUCGGGAUAAGCCUGGGAAACUGGGUCUAAUACCGGAUAGGAGCCAUUUUUAGUGUGAUGGUUGGAAAGUUUUUUCGGUGUAGGAUGAGCUCGCGGCCUAUCAGCUUGUUGGUGGGGUAAUGGCCUACCAAGGCGGCGACGGGUAGCCGGCCUGAGAGGGUGGACGGCCACAUUGGGACUGAGAUACGGCCCAGACUCCUACGGGAGGCAGCAGUGGGGAAUAUUGCACAAUGGGCGCAAGCCUGAUGCAGCGACGCCGCGUGGGGGAUGACGGCCUUCGGGUUGUAAACUCCUUUCGCUAGGGACGAAGCUUUUUGUGACGGUACCUAGAUAAGAAGCACCGGCUAACUACGUG
rnacentral:rRNA from 1 species